GCGUACACGCCGGGUGUCUAUAUUUCAUGGUUUGCAACUUUUUGUUUAUGUUUCCAGCCAUAGACUUGGUUAGAAGAUAGAUAUAGCAGCAUGACUGCCAGCCAAGCCGCCUCGACUAAGAGCUCCUCACCCGAAGAAGAGAUGAAGGUGGUCUUGCUUGGCAUCUUUACCGAGCUGGCCGCCAAGGAUAUUAAACAAGAGCUGGAAAUUCAGGGGUUCCUUCCUCCCGCAGACUACAUUAGGGUCUCUGCGGAGCCUAUAAAAAAGUUGAUAGGAUUGGCCAAUACUUUUUUUUAGUUGCCAAUUACUCGGACAUAGCGAAAAAUCCUGUUCCUCUGGCUACAGCUGUGUUGAAUGCGGUGAAGAUCAUGCCACGAAGUUAUGUUUUAAGGGAAAAAAGUCAAGAUGUGCAAACGGUACUGGCGAUCACACCGCAAAUUAAAGAGGAUCCAUCUUUUAUCCUAUAAACGCUCUUAGAAAAUUGGGAGAACUGACUAUAAGGAAAUAUCAGAGAUUGUUCUAUAGAACCAGGAUGAGCUACGGGCGCAAAAUGUCGAGUUUUUUUUGAUAGGAAACCUUCAACUUCUACUAAAUUAAAUGAUUUAAUAAUUACCCAUGUAGUAGUCCUUAACUGAGGCUAUUAGUAAUCAAAUUUUGAAACCAAUAGGCGAGUUAUUCGAGAAACUUAACCAUCGGAAAUGAAUAAUGAAUACCGCUUAAAAAAUAAUAGGAUUUUAUUUUGGAACGCGGACAGCCUAAGAGCCAAACAGUUUGAAUUACUUGAACUUGUUACUCAUUACCAAUUAAUAUUAUUCUCAUUUGGCCAUCUGAAAGAAGGUAAUAAGUAUCAAAUACCUAAAAAUACCAGUUAUAGGUGCGAUCGCAUGGCCUCGAAAAAAGGAGGGGUAGCAAUUUUAGCUGAGAAAGGUAUCCAACACACAGAGCUUAUAUAAGCAAUCUUCAGAGGUUAGAAGCAUUUGAGAUACGCAUCAAAUUACAAAAGAAUGGCGACGUAUCAAUGAUAUUAGCUUACAAGCCCCCGAGCAAAAGGUUUUUUUUUGAGAACUUGGAAUAUUUUUGGCUUAUCGAGCCCAGUUUUGUUGGCUGGAGAUCUCAAACGCAAGCACGCCCAUUGGAACAGCGCUGUUCGAGUAGAAAGGGGAAAUCUUAGCUAAUUGGGCUAAUAUAUUCGAUUUCCUUAUUCUGGGCCAGAUAACCCAGCUCACGGUACACCAUGGGGGAGCACUGAUGUAUUGGACAUAGCAGCUUUUAAAAAAUAUAUACGUCACUGCGAGUAUAAAUCCAUUUACGAGUUGUCCUCCCCGACCAUAGUUCUUAUCGAGCUGGAAGACACUGUUUUUCCUGAAGGCGCAUAUACUAUCAAAAUAACUCACUGGCCACU